rnacentral:rRNA from 1 species
UACGGGGGGGAGCAAGCGUUGUUCGGAAUUACUGGGCGUAAAGCGCACGUAGGCGGCGUGACAAGUUAGGCGUGAAAUGCCUGAGCUUAACUCAGGAACUGCGCUUAAGACUGUCAUGCUAGAGACUAGGAGAGGGUGGCGGAAUUCCCAGUGUAGCGGUGAAAUGCGCAGAUAUCAGGAGGAACACCGGUGGCGAAGGCGGGUCUCUGGGCCGAUACUGACGCUGAGGAGCGAAAGCGUGGGGAGCGAACAGG